CACAGAUAUGUGAUACUACCUACCUUAUAGCCAGCUGUUCAGAUGAAAGGAUCCAGCGAUCCUUCCAUGUGAACAUGCUAAAGGAGUAUCAGGAGAGACCAGAGAAUGUCGCUGCAGUAUGUGCCCCUGCUGCAGAUGAUACAGAAAAUUUACCCUUGCCAGACCUGUUAGAGAGGGACCCCCAGACGGAUCUUACUAGCCUAGUACAGCUAGGGGACAGAUUGAGCGCUACCGAGAAG